rnacentral:rRNA from 1 species
UUUUGACCUCGGAUCAGGUAGGGAUACCCGCUGAACUUAAGCAUAUCAAUAAAA